AACUUUCCCCUUUCAGAUUUCAAACAAUUCAAUUAAUUUCAAUUUCUUAAAAACCAGUUUUUUUUUAACGAUGAAGAAAUAUUUGUAACCAACUAACUUGCCCUUAAGGCCUUUAAAAAACUUGUUAACGCCUUUUGUCUCGUCCAAUCACCUACAAAAUUUCACCACGUUGUCAGAUGUUCAAUUUUGUGCUCCAUAAGUAAUUGACGUCGUGCCUGAUGAAGAGAUUUUGAAUCUCGAAACAUGUUGCACUGAUCUUAUAUUAAGAAUAAAUAAUUUUUCAUCG